GAUGAACGCUGGCGGCGUGCUUAACACAUGCAAGUCGAGCGAAGCGAUUUUAAGGAAGCCUUCGGGUGGAAUUAAGAUUGACUUAGCGGCGGACGGGUGAGUAACGCGUGGGUAACCUGCCUCAUACAGGGGGAUAACAGUUAGAAAUGACUGCUAAUACCGCAUAAGCGCACAGUGUUGCAUAGCACAGUGUGAAAAACUCCGGUGGUAUGAGAUGGACCCGCGUCUGAUUAGGUAGUUGGUGGGGUAACGGCCCACCAAGCCGACGAUCAGUAGCCGAACCGAGAGGGUGACCGGCCACAUUGGGACUGAGACACGGCCCAAACUCCUACGGGAGGCAGCAGUGGGGAAUAUUGGACAAUGGGGGAAACCCUGAUCCAGCGACGCCGCGUGACUGAAGAAGUAUUUCGGUAUGUAAAGGUCUAUCAGCAGGGAAGAAAAUGACGGUACCUGACUAAGAAGCCCCGGCUAACUACGUGCCAGCCGCCACGGUAA
rnacentral:rRNA from 1 species